UACGGGGGGGGCAAGCGUUGUUCGGAAUUACUGGGCGUAAAGGGCUCGUAGGCGGCCAACUAAGUCGGACGUGAAAUCCCUCGGCUUAACCGGGGAACUGCGUCCGAUACUGGAUGGCUUGAGUUCGGGAGAGGGAUGCGGAAUUCCAGGUGUAGCGGUGAAAUGCGUAGAUAUCUGGAGGAACACCGGUGGCGAAGGCGGCAUCCUGGACCGACACUGACGCUGAGGAGCGAAAGCCAGGGGAGCAAGCAGGG
rnacentral:rRNA from 1 species